GACGAACGCUGGCGGCGUGCUUAACACAUGCAAGUCGAACGGACAGGCCCUGCUUUUGUGGGGUGCUCGAGUGGCGAACGGGUGAGUAACACGUGAGUAACCUGCCCUUGACUUUGGGAUAACUUCAGGAAACUGGGGCUAAUACCGGAUAGGAGCUCUUGCUGCAUGGUGGUGGUUGGAAAGUUUCGGCGGUUGGGGCUGGUCUCGCGGCUUAUCAGCUUGUUGGUGGGGUAGUGGCUUACCAAGGCUUUGACGGGUAGCCGGCCUGAGAGGGUGACCGGCCACAUUGGGACUGAGAUACGGCCCAGACUGCUACGGGAGGCAGCAGUGGAGAGUAUUGCACAAUGGGCGGAAGCCUGAUACAGCGACGCCGCGUGCGGGAUGACGGCCUUCGGGUUGUAAACCGCUUUCGCCUGUGACGAAGCGUGAGUGACGGUAAUGGGUAAAGAAGCACCGGCUAACUACGUG
rnacentral:rRNA from 1 species